UACGAACCGUCCAAACGUUACUCGGAAUCACUGGGCUUAAAGGGUGCGUAGGCCGCGCGGAGGGUGGGAUGUGAAAUCCCCCGGCUCAACCGGGGAAUAGCGUCCCAAACCGCCGUGCUCGAGGGAGACAGAGGUGAGCGGAACUGAUGGUGGAGCGGUGAAAUGCGUUGAUAUCAUCAGGAACACCAGUGGCGAAAGCGGCUCACUGGGUCUUUCCUAACGCUGAUGCACGAAAGCUAGGGGAGCGAACGGG
rnacentral:rRNA from 1 species